UAGCAGCACAUCAUGAUUUGCA
rnacentral:miRNA from 2 species